rnacentral:piRNA from 1 species
UCUUUGUGCUUUUCAAAUGUUU